rnacentral:misc_RNA from 1 species
UAUCAAUAUAUAUCCCCUUCUUGUCCUUCACCUCGUCAAUGAAGUACCUAGCCAGCACUUCCAAUACUUGCUGAUCUGUUCCUCCAAGUGAAUCAAGAUAUUGGAACUUUUCAUCCUUCUUGUUGAUGACAGCUAAGCACCAAUGUACUUGUUUGUGGAUAGGGACAAAAAUUUUGUCACAUUCAAAGAGGCAGUAACCCAGCUUCCUUUGGGAUGUCCAUCUUUUCACAGAUUGAUAGUUAUAGUCUCCCUUGUUACUGAUUAACUUCUUGUAAAAGAAUGUGUUAAAGAAAUGACAUUUCAAGAACUUUUUGGGCUCCCUUCUUUCUCUCUCUUUUAGUAACUCAAGAUACACAUUAAUGACCUCGUCGUUCAACCAUGCCCCAGGCCUCAAACACUGCAAUAUCUCUCCAGUAAUAUCAAUAUUGGAGUUCUCAUGUUUUGCCAAAACCUUCCUCCUGCUAGAAUUAGAUAAAGCUCGAGAAACUUCAGCCUCUUCCUCCUCAUCAAGGAGCAUAAAGGGUUCUGUAAUCACAUCCUCCUUAACAUAUUCUUCUUUCUUCUGAGGCCUUAACAAAUGUUGCGUCUCACGACGCUUCUCAGUAUACUCUAUAUGAAAUUGCAGUCUCUUUAAAUGGUCAUUUCUUUUCUCAGCUGAACCCAGCAAUUUCUUAUAUGGAGGAACUGAAGAUGAAGUAGAAGCAGAAUCAAACUUGCUACUCAAAGAUAAUGUAUCUAGCAUCUUUUCUGCAUUCUCCACCUUCAACUUCACACCAUCCGACACUGUU